CGUAGGGUGCGAGCGUUAAUCGGAAUUACUGGGCGUAAAGCGUGCGCAGGCGGUUUAGUAAGACAGGCGUGAAAUCCCCGGGCUCAACCUGGGAACUGCGCUUGUGACUGCUAAGCUAGAGUACGGCAGAGGGGGUGGAAUUCCACGUGUAGCAGUGAAAUGCGUAGAGAUGUGGAGGAACACCAAUGGCGAAGGCAGCCCCCUGGGUCGAUACUGACGCUCAUGCACGAAAGCGUGGGUAGCAAACAGGAUUAGAUACCCUGGUAGUCCACGCCCUAAACGAUGUCAACUAGGUGUUGGGAGGGUAAAACCUUUUAGUACCGGAGCUAACGCGUGAGGUUGACCGCCUGGGGAGUACGGCCGCAAGGUUA
rnacentral:rRNA from 1 species